GGAGCGUCCCGCUUUCCCCACGCGUUCCUGACUCCAACAUAUAAUAUCUUAUUCUCAGAUCUAGAACGACGCACAAGAGCCAGAACUUAUCCUCUCCCUCUCCCUCUCCCUCAGAUCGAGAACGAAACUUAUCUCCUCACAGGCUUGUUCGUGUUCCUCAUCGUCUCCUUCCAAGGUUUGGUGUGCGGCAUCAACCGGUGCAGGGGCACGGUGUGGUCAGGAGCAGAUGAGGCUGCCGAGAUGCCUAGGAGGCUGCCAUUAGCGGUGGACUCCGACUUCGUCCCUGAAGCACCACCAGUUCUUCACCCGCGACCACCUCGUCGGCAUCACCACCACCGUCGCCGACCCCAACCCCAACGGCCUCGAGUUUGACAACCUCUACCUCGACUUCAAUCUGUAAUAUCUUUUUGUGUAUAUAAUAUAUAUGGGAUAUGUAAUCUGUAACUCCUCAUCUUCUACUGCUGUUGAUUCUCUGUGUAACUAUUGUCCUGUUAACAGUUUCUUAACAUUUGGGUGCUGCGUGAAUACCUAGGCAAAGGAUUUGGAAACUGUUGAUCCUCCCUUCAAGAUAAA